AGGCUGUCAUACCCACAAGUCAAAAUCCCUAUCCCAAAAUCUCUACCCACAGAAGCGCUGGCAAGAUGAGGAGGACAGCCACGGCAAGAAAAUGAAGAAGACGGCGAUGGCGAAGAAGAUGAGGAAGACGCUGAUUGUGAAGAAAAUGAAGCAUCCGGCGGUGGCGAUGGAGAUGAGAAGAAGACGGCAAAUGGCGAAGGAGAGAUGAAGAAGACGAUGAUGGGAAAAAUGUUGUCAACCAGCUAAUUUUGGUCAAAUCAGCCAAUUUUUGGUUGAUAAGCUAGUAACCAAACACCCCCUAUAUCAAAUCCGAAAGCAAAGGAACGUUUCAAGGCAUGCUUGGAGUCAAAAUGAAUGAAGAAUGCUGAUUUUGAGAGCUGGACGCGUUCGGAAUCUGCCCCGUCGCGACAAAAAUUUCCAGUACGCAAGCCCCAAGGCUCGACGCGUCGAGAAUCCUGCGACAACACAAAUUUCAGCUCUACGGAAUUGCCUAUUUUGCCCCUAUUUUUGCUCCCACUAUAAAAGGUUCAUUUUCCCAAAACCCUAGGAGCUAAGCUGCCUUUUUGAGGCAAAAAGGAGUGAGUGUAAGGGUGUUGUCUCUUCAAUGGAGUAAAGGAGGGAUUCACCACUUUUGGGAAGAAGAUUGUCACCUCAAGGAGCUAUAAAGGCUUUGGGAGGAAGAAGGAAAGCUACAUUUGGGAGAAUUUCUUUUCCUUUCCUUUACUUUCUUAGUCUUUGUAAACUCUUUAACAUUGGAGCUUUAAAUUCAAUACUAGUCAUGAUUGGCUAAAGUAACUUUGGGAUUUUUUGGUGAAAGGUGUUUAUGAACCCUAUUUUGCCUUGUUCUUUAUGUUCUAAUGUUAUAUUUACAUUUGGGUUUGAUGACUUA